GACGUAGGGCGCGAGCGUUGUCCGGAUUUAUUGGGCGUAAAGAGCUCGUAGGUGGUUUGUCGCGUUGUUCGUGAAAACUCACAGCUCAGCUGUGGGCGUGCGGGCGAUACGGGCAGACUGGAGUACUGCAGGGGAGACUGGAAUUCCUGGUGUAGCGGUGGAAUGCGCAGAUAUCAGGAGGAACACCGAUGGCGAAGGCAGGUCUCUGGGCAUUAACUGACGCUGAGGAGCGAAAGCAUGGGGAGCGAACAGG
rnacentral:rRNA from 1 species